ACUCACUCUUCUCUCUCUUGCUGCCUUGUGAAGAAGGUGACUGCUUCCCCUUCUGCCAUGAUUAUGAGUUUCCUGAGGCCUCCCCAGCCAUGCGGAACUUUCCAGAGGCAAGAAGUCCAAGACUGGUGUUGACAAUGUUGGUUCCUUCUGAGGGCUGAGAGGGAGGAUCUCCCAGCCCCUGCUCCAGCUUCAGGGCUGGCUGGCCAUCUUUGGCGUUCCUUGUCUUGGAGAAGCAUCACCCUGACUCCUGCCUUCAUCAUCACAUGGUGUUCUCCCCAGGCAGCUCACUAUGAGGCUAUCACAAAUCAAUGGAAGCACAUUUGGUGAAGAGUACAGGCCCAUCAGAGGAUACCACUGAAUCCAUGCUCCACAGCAGUUCCCAGCAAGCUGCACUCUUCGAAGGCGGGAUGCUGAAACCUCUGCCCCCACCCCCUACAUUAGCUUUAUAUCCAAAUGUGACUCGGAGGCUGGUGAGCUCAAGGUGAUCAAUGACAGCUCCAAUCAAAGCCACCCAGUAGACAGUGCACUCACCACUCCUUGAUAUAAAAGGUGUUUUAUUUCUCAUCCUUUUAUUUUUGUCACUGAAAGAAUGCUUCCCAUGUGUGGAUUAAUUAAAGUGUAAACAUUAAAUAUUGAUUGAUGCAUUAUCAGCAUG
rnacentral:lncRNA from 1 species